GUUUACUUGCUACCUCACCAGACCUCCCAGCUGGAACUCACAUUCCCUAGUAUUGCAAGGACAUCACAGGUUACUGGCUUGGAUCCUUUCCGGGGACUCAGUUUCGUCCCAGAUGUUCCACAGUCAACUAUUGACAUUCUGGCGGGAGCUUGUACUGAUCAGCUAUUUCUGCAUGACAUCAGGGAUUGGAUGGCUUCCCAGCUGGAAAACACCUAUUGGUGUGCUGGCCCCUUGAGGGAAUCAGAUU